GACGGAGGAUGCAAGUGUUAUCCGGAAUCACUGGGCGUAAAGCGCUGUAGGUGGUUUAAAAAGUCCACUGUUAAAAAUUGAAGCUUAACUUCAAAGAUGCCGUGGAAACUUUUAAACUUGAGUAUGAUAGGGGUAGAGGGAAUUCCAGUGGAGCGGUGAAAUGCGUAGAUAUUGGAAAGACCACCAGGCGAAGGCAUCUACUGGGCCAUUACUGACACUGAGAGACGAAAGCUAGGGGAGCGAAUGGG
rnacentral:rRNA from 1 species